rnacentral:misc_RNA from 1 species
GGCAAAAGUUUAGUGCACUCAUGACCUUUUAUUUGACCGUUCCGACCCCCAACUUUUUAUUUUUGACCUAUUGCACCCUUCAACUUUUUAUUUUUAUAAUCAAUUAGCACAAUUUGCUCAACUCAAUAAUAAAUAAUGGGUAAAUUACUAUGAGGUCCCCGUAUCAUGUCAAAAUUCAUUAUUUGGUCCCUAAAAUUUUUAAUCCCAAUUAAAAUGUCCCUCUAUUUUGUAAAAUCAAACUAUUUAGUCCUUCCAUGAUAGAUUCCAUAGUGAGAGAUGAAAAGACCAAAAUACCCAUCUCCAUGUAACCGCUAGCAGUAUCUUCUCUCUCUGCUUCUCCACCACAAGUCCACCACCACUCUCUGAAACCCUAGGCCAACCCAUUGUCAUUCUCUUAUGCCCAUGCCCACAUAUCAAGCACAACAAAUGAACUAGGAAAUCCACCUGCACAAAUUCACAAAUCCAUCAUCAGUCAGAGGAAGUGGCAAGAAAUGGACAAAUCCACAAAUUCAUAGCCUCUGGAAAAUAUCCACAAAUUUACAGUUGAAGUAUUGGGCAAUAGGUUAGUAACCACAAAUUAACAGGAAGCUCUUGCAUGAAAUUGAACCAUAUCCAGUCUUAAUAAUUGCUGCAAGUAAUUCAUCGUCACUUUGUUACUGCAUUUCCUUCAAAAACAUAGGACAGGAAGCAAGCUACGAAUGCCGAUCUAGUCUUUGCUAAUGAUUCCUGGUGCUCCUUCAUCUUGACGUCGCCCAUGCAUUAGAGGAUGGAAAUGCGUACGUGAAAUGGGUUGUGGGUGCUGUGAGGAGGCAGUGGUGUGAUGGUGGUGUCCAGCUUGGCAGUAUGGAGAGCGCAAGACUGUGUGACAACUGGUUCUUCCUCACACGGCGG